rnacentral:lncRNA from 1 species
AGGCGACCCUGCCCCGCCGGACUCCCGCUGCCUGGGAUCGUCCCGGGAGCGACGGCCGGCCGGUGGUCUUGGACGUGCGGGGGUCUGCGAGGGCUUUUUCGCGGCUGCCACCUUCUCUGUGGCGGAAGCCUGGAUGGCGGCCCCCCAGCCCUUGCGCCUUUGAGGCUCGACCCUGGGCGUCCCGGCGUGCGCGGGCGGGCGGGCUCCGGCCCCUCCGGCGCUGACCCGGCGGCUGGGAUGCCGCAGGGCCGCGCAGCUUAGGCCCGGUCCACUGAGGAGCCCGGCUCUGCUCGAGAGACUGGCUCAGACUCGAGUUCGGGCAGGGAUGUGACUGAGGCAGUGGCGGGCCAAGAAACGAGUGCCCAGGAGUGGUCCCAGGCGUGGCUUCCUGCAGCUUCCUUGCGAGUCGAGUCAACGCUUAGGCUUGUUUGACCAAAGAAGGGAAAUGGGCAAUAGGGACUCUGUGUACUAUGCUUAUUUCCUGAAAAGAUUGUUACUUGAAUAGUUGCAGACUGAAAGAAAACAGAUUUCGGUUAAAAAAAAGGAAGAUAUUCCCAGAGGAAGAUUAGCCCUGAGGUAACAUCUGCUGCCAGCCCUCUUUUUUUGGCUGAGGAAGACUGGCCUUGAGCUAACAUCCAUGCCAUCUUCUUCUGCUUUAUAUGUGGGAUGCCUGCCACAGCAUGGCUUGACAAGUGGUGCAUAGGUCCGCACCUGGGAUCCAAACCUGCAAACCCUGGGCUGCUGAAGCGGAACGUGCAAACUUAACCGCUGCGCCACCGGGCCAGUCCCUGUAUGUCUGGACCAGGGUGAUGACGUACUUUGAGCUGACAUCAUCACCAGGAAGUCAGGGAAGGUGACCUUUUAACAGUCCUCGCUUUGCAGACGAAGAGGGGCUUUUCAGAAGCAGCUGCCUUCCUUAGAGAGGCAGAGAGAAAUGCCAACUAAAAGAAAUGCAUAGGAGUCUGGCUGGGGCUUGAAAAAAAUCUGAGCAUUUUCUUCAAGAAAAUUAAAU